ACAGAGGGGGCAAGCGUUAUUCGGAAUUAUCGGGCGUAAAGGGCGCGUAGGCGGCCUUGCAAGUGGCGGGUGAAAUCCCUCGGCUUAACCGAGGAACUGCCUGCCAGACUGUAAGGCUUGAGACCGGGAGAGGUGAGUAGAAUUCCCAGUAUAGCGGUGAAAUGCGUAGAUAUUGGGAGGAACACCAGUGGCGAAGGCGGCUCACUGGACCGGAACUGACGCUGAGGCGCGAAAGCGUGGGGAGCAAACAGGA
rnacentral:rRNA from 1 species